AAGUCUGAUGGAGCAACGCCGCGUGAGUGAAGAAGGCUUUCGGGUCGUAAAACUCUGUUGUUGGAGAAGAAUGGUCGGCAGAGUAACUGUUGUCGGCGUGACGGUAUCCAACCAGAAAGCCACGGCUAACUACGUGCCAGCAGCCGCGGUAAUACGUAGGUGGCAAGCGUUAUCCGGAUUUAUUGGGCGUAAAGCGAGCGCAGGCGGUUUUUUAAGUCUGAUGUGAAAGCCCUCGGCUUAACCGAGGAAGCGCAUCGGAAACUGGGAAACUUGAGUGCAGAAGAGGACAGUGGAACUCCAUGUGUAGCGGUGAAAUGCGUAGAUAUAUGGAAGAACACCAGUGGCGAAGGCGGCUGUCUGGUCUGUAACUGACGCUGAGGCUCGAAAGCAUGGGCAGCGAACAGGAUUAGAUACCCUGGUAGUCCAUGCCGUAAACGAUGAAUGCUAGGUGUUGGAGGGUUUCCGCCCUUCAGUGCCGCAGCUAACGCAUUAAGCAUUCCGCCUGGGGAGUACGACCGCAAGGUUGAAACUCAAAGGAAUUGACGGGGGCCCGCACAAGCGGUGGAGCAUGUGGUUUAAUUC
rnacentral:rRNA from 2 species